ACCGGUGGCCAUAGCGAGGGAGAAACACCCGAUCCCAUCCCGAACUCGGUAGUUAAGCCCCUCAGCGCCGAUGGUACUGCGGGCGCGAGCUCGUGGGAGAGUAGGUCGCUGCCGGAG
rnacentral:rRNA from 2 species